GGUUCAUGACUGGUUCAAAGUUAAAAGCAAGAGAAAUAGUUGGAAGUGAAAUUUUUAUCAUAGGUAUAUGCUUUGGGUUUGUACUCCUUUUUUUUUUUUUUUUUUUUUUUUGUACAAAAUUUGAGUGAUUUCAACCCAUUUAGUUGCUGCCUUUUCUAGGGAAAAGCUUUCUCAUGUUGGGACUCAAAUGAUAUGUUCAAUCUGUUCACUAAUAACUAGUCUAUGGACAUGACAAUAGCCUCAGAAAGAACCAUGAGUUCUUUCCCCCAAGCAUAUGCCUGUAAUUUCACAAUGCCCCUUUUAAUUCUAUGAGACAGUCCAGGUCGCUGUGUGCUACAGCAGUUGUUGCACUCUGUCUCAAAGUGGGCCUGCAGUACUGCUAUACCUAACUCUAAAUGCAUGUGUGAAUGGUUUUAAAAACUGGCUGUGGAAACCAGCCCAUGAUAUGUUUGUCUGCAGUGUUAUAAUGGGCUGACACCAUAGCUUUCAAAAAUAAAUAAAUACAAUUGGACUGAAUUAUUAUUAUUAUGAUUAUUAUUCUCUUUCCAGGUGUGUGAUAGUAACUUGCUGUAAAUAUUACAAUAUAAAAUUGAAAUUAUUGGGAAAAAAAAAAAAAAAAAAAAAAAAAAAAAAACAAUUUAUUGCUAACCUAUGAGCUACAGGAGUUAGUAACUCAAAUGGUGCAAAUAAGUUAGAUAAAGAUCAUGGAAAAAGCUAAUAUACCUAGGAAUUAAACUGUAUGGAUCAGUAGUAGAUUCUAGUUGGGGUGUCAUAACAAUCAUAUUUUGGUCAGAUUUUGUUUGCUGUAUGAAAUCUACACAUUGACUUUGAUGGUCUAGUGGUGAAGUGCAGUGUGGAGUUGUUGACAGUAAAGAUUUGUAUAAAAUUGAGGACAACAAACUAGGUGAUUUGUAAUUUAGGUGAUUUCUAAAUUACUGAAAGCCAAUUCUUAGUCUGAUUGGUAGUGAUUUGAUAUAGUGUUUGGCUGCAAAAAAAAACCAAACAUACAACUGCAGGGAGGAGCCCUGGAAAGCAGGAAUAGAAUGUAACAAGGGAGGAGAAUUGUUAUAUAAUUAUGUAUUUUAUAUAUAUAUAUAAUUCCAUAUUAUUUUUCCAAUGAGUAAUUGUCUGCUCAGUGUCAUUUGGUUUGGGUUCUAAAAGAUGUAUUUUUGAAAAUACCAAGUCACAAAGCUUAAAAACACAAGAGGAAGGUACGGAGGAAGCAGGUUUCUCAUUACAGGUAUAAUUUCAUUUAUUUACUUAUAUUUAAAACCUGGUAUGUGCCCAUUGGAGAUGCCAAUCUUUUAAUCAGGUGGGUAUAUUCAAGCAUGUUUGCAAUUAGUAUUGCAUACAUUGACAUUAUUGAUACCAGGCUAAAAUCUAUAGUGAUGAUCUCAACUUCACUGAAAUAUAAUCCCUUACUUUUAGUUUACCAGGAGCAGUGAUAUAUAUAUUCAUGACCCUUUUAAAAUCUCUCAUGAACUUCACAAAUUAAAUAAAUAGUUUGAGACAAAGAAGUGUAGUGAAGCAUUACAUGCUAAUUACAAACAAUGGUCAUUCAGUAAAAUUAAAGGUGAAAUGAUACAUUAGUAUUGACGUUCUGUAUCCAGACAAUGGCGAUGUUAAUAUCUGCUAACAUUGUAGUCUGAGGGCAAUGCAUCAGAUGUUUUGAGACUUCACGAUCAUCUGUGUUAUUUGUUUGUAUUCCUGCUUUAUUGAUGGUUAGUAUUAUAGUGAUAUUUGAAAGGAUGUCAGUGGGGUGGAAUUAUGUCUCUGGAUAAGUGUCUCUUACAGUUCCCUAAAUACCAGAGCAAAGCUGAAAUGUUUAUUCAAACAAAGCAAGAGAUAUUGAUCUUAUAAUAGUUGUCAAUUACAAGGAUAUUUGGUUUAUUCUACUGAAUGAUUACACUGGACUUCUUACAUUGGACACUUACACUGGACUGCCUUGUUUACUGGUAGCACAAAAAUGGACAGUUUCUCAUUCCCAUUUUUGCUUGCACUGUGUUAAGCUCAGAGGAAGGUGAGAACAGCAGAGAAACUAAGCUGCACUGGCACAAGGGACUUUCUGGUGUGCUUAGCUGCUGCCUGUGCUUUCAACAUUCAUCAGAAAUAAAUAAUUUUAUUCUGGAUUUUGUAAAGCUGUUUGAUAGUGGGUGACCUUCCUUAGGUAGAGGAGGAAAGAUUGCAUUAAUAGAGGCAAGGGGCUCCAUUCUACGUGAGUACUUCAGGCAUGCAGAGCAUAUUAGAGCUGCAGUAGGUGAGUUAACUGCACUGUAGUGGAUCAAAUUGGUACUGCUUUGGGGAAUGUCAGGUUGUUUAUAGAGAGGAAGUAGAAGAGUAAAUGAAGACAAGAUGAUUAAACACUUCAUUCCUAAAAAUGGUGAAGUUCUGUUAGAACAAGGUGAAGAGGAAAGAAAGGAUAUGUUGUGAGCUGUUGCUUUUUUUCCUCAAAUAAUAAAGAUACAUGAUAGUGAAUUGCUUAAUGAGAAAAAAAAAAAUCAUAGAAAGCACUAGUCUAACUGAAAUCCUACAGUCAUGUAGGGAGGCAGUGCCUCUAUCCUCAAUUCCAGUCUUUUGUAAUCAUGAUUGAUCUAAUAAGGAUUAACCUGUGUCUGUUACUGUACAGUGUUUUACACAGUUUGAUUUAAUUGUGACUGCUAACUGUCUCCUUGUGUGAUUGCUUUUUAAGUACCAGUCCCACUUUAGGACAGGGAGGCUUCAUUUUACUGUUUUACUUUUGUCUUACAAUUUUGUAAGCAUUAGAAUUUUACGGGUCACUGCUUUGCUUUAAAGGUUCUUGAAGGAAAAAUAAUUUCAGUUCUCUUAUUCUGACUCACAACAACCAGAGCAAUAGGUGCUUUGUGCUCUCAUCUUGCUUCUUCUGUAAGAAUUACUAAAUAAGCUGCAAUCAUAAAAUUGAAUGUGGCUUUUCUACUGCAGGUUGUUUUGACUUUCAUGUUAAUUUUUAACUCAGGUAAAAAUUCCUUUCUCCAGAAUACUGAAAAUACCAUGUUAUCAGGUCAUCCACUUGGAUGUUUUAUUGGAUGGGCAAGUAAUUGGUAAUAUUCUUAGUGGUGUUUUGUGAGAAGAAAGAGUUCUGCAGGAUUCAUUCUAUCACAAGUGGUAAAUUAAGAAGACAGAGAAAUAGCAAAUGCAGUUUCUUUGUGAGAUCAUCAUCCAGAGUACAUAUUCUUCACCUAUAGAGAAAAGUGCAGGAGCUGCAGGUUGUGUAAACACCACCACCACCUGCCUUGAAAGCCAGUUCCACGAGGAGCUAUGCCUAGCAGUUUUUGGAGGCUGGCUGCUGCAGAUAUUUUGUGGGUAGGAAGCAGGUUACACAUUUGUUUCUAAGAAGCAAAUGAUUUAAUAUUUAGGUGCAUAUUCCUGGGAAAAUAAGACUGUUGUCCCAAAUAAAAGCAUUGCAGUACAGGAUGGUAGUGCUAUUGUAGACAUAAACAGGUAGGCUGUGGGCAAAGUUCAUGCUGUAUGAGUUAAUGUUUCUACAUUUUUAGUGACAGCAUUAUCUCCAGAAUUUGUGCACUGAAAAGUACGUAUCCUAUGGGGAAGUUAUUUCCUUUUUCCCCCACCAGUUCUUCAGUUUUUUAAUUAAGUGUUAUAUUUUUAUCAUCAGGAAUAAACAAUAUUAAUGUAGGAUGUGUAUACAGUUCAACAUACUGACCAGAACUACCUACCAGUUAUUUUAGUCACUUAGAAAGAACCAAAUCCAUGUGGCUUCUUAGAGAGCUCUAGCUCACUUCCACAGCUUGAGAGUCUAGAUUAAAUUUAAUAUAAUUUCAGAAUUAAGUAAAUAUUUUUAAUGAGAAUGCAGUAAACUUUAUUCUUUUCAUACCCUCUUGUAUAUAAGUUUUUCUAGGAA